UGACCUCGGAUCAGGUAGGAAUACCCGCUGAACUUAAGCAUAUCAAUAAGCGGAGGAAAAGAAACCAACAGGGAUUGCCCUAGUAACGGCGAGUGAAGCGGCAACAGCUCAAAUUUGAAAUCUGGCCUCGGCCCGAGUUGUAAUUUGCAGAGGAUGCUUCUGGCGCGGUGCCUUCCGAGUUCCCUGGAACGGGACGCCACAGAGGGUGAGAGCCCCGUAUGGUCGGACACCAAGCCUGUGUGAAGCUCCUUCGACGAGUCGAGUAGUUUGGGAAUGCUGCUCUAAAUGGGAGGUAAAUCUCUUCUAAAGCUAAAUACCGGCCAGAGACCGAUAGCGCACAAGUAGAGUGAUCGAAAGAUGAAAAGCACCUUGAAAAGGGGGUUAAAUAGUACGUGAAAUUGUUGAAAGGGAAGCACUUGUGACCAGACUUGGGCCGGGCGGCUCAUCAGGGGUUCUCCCCUGUGCACUCCGCCCGGCACAGGCCAGCAUCGGUUCUCGUGGGGGGAUAAGACCGUCAGGAACGUAGCACCCUCCGGGGUGUGUUAUAGCCUGGCGGACGAUACCCCCGUGGGGACCGAGGUUCGCGCUCCGCAAGGAUGCUGGCGUAAUGGUCACCAGUGACCCGUCUUGAAACACGGACCAAGGAGUCGUCCAUUAGAGCGAGCGUUUGGGUGUAAAACCCGCACGCGUAAUGAAAGUGAACGCAGGUGAGAGCUUCGGCGCAUCAUCGACCGAUCCUGAUGUUCUCGGAAGGAUUUGAGUAAGAGUUUUAACGGACGGACCCGAAAGACAGUGAACUAUGCUUGUAUAGGGUGAAGCCAGAGGAAACUCUGGUGGAGGCUCGCAGCGGUUCUGACGUGCAAAUCGAUCGUCAAAUAUGAGCAUGGGGGCGAAAGACUAAUCGAACUGUCUAGUAGCUGGUUACCGCCGAAGUUUCCCUCAGGAUAGCAGUGUUGAUCUUCAGUUUUAUGAGGUAAAGCGAAUGAUUAGGGACUCGGGGGCGCUAUAUAGCCUUCAUCCAUUCUCAAACUUUAAAUAUGUAAGAAGCCCUUGUUACUUAGUUGAACGUGGGCAUUCGAAUGUACCAACACUAGUGGGCCAUUUUUGGUAAGCAGAACUGGCGAUGCGGGAUGAACCGAACGCGGGGUUAAGGCGCCAGAGUGUACGCUCAUCAGACACCACAAAAGGCGUUAGUACAUCUUGACAGCAGGACGGUGGCCAUGGAAGUCGGAAUCCGCUAAGGACUGUGUAACAACUCACCUGCCGAAUGUACUAGCCCUGAAAAUGGAUGGCGCUCAAGCGUACCGCCCAUACCCCGCCCCCAGGGUAGAAACGAUGCCCUGGGGAGUAGGCGGCCGUGGGGGUCUGUGACGAAGCCUAGGGCGUGAGCCCGGGUCGAACGGCCCCUAGUGCAGAUCUUGGUGGUAGUAAAU
rnacentral:rRNA from 1 species